rnacentral:rRNA from 1 species
AAUCUUCCGCAAUGGACGAAAGUCGGACGGACUGAUGCCGCGUGAGUGAUGAAGUUCUUCGCAUCGUAAUACUCUGGUGUUAGGGCAGAACAAGUAUCGGAGCAAUAUGCCGGUACCUUGACGCUACGUAACCCGAAAGCCCCGGUUCAUUCCGUGCCAGCAGCCGCGGGAAUACGUAGGGGGCAAGCGUGGUCCGGAAUUAUUGGGCGUAAAGGGCACGAAGGCGGUUAUUUAAGUCUGAUGUGAGGGCUUGUGGCUUAGCCACAAGCGGUCAUUGGAAACUGGAUAACUUGAGUACGGGAGAGGGGAGUGGAAUUCCACGUGUAGCGGUGAAAUGCGUAGAGAUGUGGAGGAACACCAGUGGCGAGGGCGGCUCUCUGGUCUGUAACUGACGCUGAGGUGCGAAAGCGUGGGUAGCGAACAG